rnacentral:rRNA from 1 species
GACGAACGCUGGCGGCGUGCUUAACACAUGCAAGUCGAACGGUAAGGCCCUUCGGGGUACACGAGUGGCGAACGGGUGAGUAACACGUGGGUGAUCUGCCCUGCACUUCGGGAUAAGCCUGGGAAACUGGGUCUAAUACCGGAUAGGACUCCUGGCUUCAUGGUUGGGGGUGGAAAGCUUUUGCGGUGUGGGAUGGGCCCGCGGCCUAUCAGCUUGUUGGUGGGGUAAUGGCCUACCAAGGCGACGACGGGUAGCCGGCCUGAGAGGGUGGCCGGUCACACUGGGACUGAGAUACGGCCCAGACUCCUACGGGAGGCAGCGGUGGGGAAUAUUGCACAAUGGGCGCAAGCCUGAUGCAGCGACGCCGCGUGAGGGAUGACGGCCUUCGGGUUGUAAACCUCUUUCAGCUAUGACGAAGCGCAAGUGACGGUAGUAGCAGAAGAAGGACCGGCCAACUACGUGCCAGCCGCCGCGGUAA